UGACGUCCGUGUCGCUCCUGGCACGGGAGCGGGCUCGAAGCAAAAAUAGCAGGGAACUGAAUUUACGAAGUUGGCGUUCCCCCAGCUGGCUCAUUUGCGGCGAACCGAGAGUCUCAAGGUCCCCGUGUUUAGUAGACGGAACACUUAAGGUGUUUUGUUACAGUAGUGGAAAGCCAAGCCACCCCCUCUCCAUUUGCCUGCUGCCCUGCAGCACCAGCUGUGGACGGCUGUGACCUUGGCUGGCUGCUCUUCAUCCGUGUGGAGGCUAAUUAUAGUAUCAGCUGACUGAGCUCCAGGAUGCCCAGCGAGAUGGUGUAAUGCGUCCUCCCGGGCGUGUCAGUGACAGUGUUUCCAGGGGAGGCACAGAUGAAGGAGUAUGCCUGGAGUCUCCGCUGCGACUUCCGGCUUAGGGUUUUGAACAAUACUGGAACUGUGAAGACCUCAGCAUGACUGGUGGUCGAAUGAAUGCACUUUGCAUUCAGCUGGACAUGAAUUUGGGAGCCGAGGGAGGGUGCUGUGGUUUGUUCCCCCAAAUGUUUGUGUGUUGGGCUUGGUGCCCAGGGUACUAGUGCCGGGAGAGGGCAUAGGCUGCUAGGAGGUGCAGCCCAGUGAGGUCCCGGGGUCACGGGGGCUGCCGAGAGGACUGCUUGCUCGCUUCUUAGCUGAGAUGUAACCACUCGCUCCUCUUGCCAUCCCAGAACCAAGCUAAUACAGGGUCAGGCCCUGACCCUCCAGAACUGCACUGAAUAAACCUCUCUUUUCAUAAGCAGCCCGCGCCAGGGAUUUUGUUAGGGUGACAAAUAGGUGACUAAGACACCAGCUUAGGCUGAAGUUGAUCUUUCUCAUGGUUGACUUUGAUAGGAGCAGCAAAUACCAAUAUUUGGGUGUUGGAACCUAUUCUUGAACCGUUAUGCCUUGACUGGCAUAGGACCUGCCUCCUGGGGUGAAGCAGGCAACAGGCGGAAUAAUAUUUGCUCCUGAAUAGGCUUCCAACCCCAGCCAGGAGUUCCCAGUAGGCGGGACCAGCCAGGCAGAGGAGCAGGAGCAGAGCUCAGGGCAGCCAUCGCCCCUCCCUGGGAGCCGAGGCACUCCCCUUCACUCCGGUCUCCUUGCCUGCAUUUGGCCUUAGUGACUUAUUCGUGGGUUGGAUCUUAAAUGUUCCCCCAAAGCCCAGGUGCUAAAGGCUUAGUCCCCAGCCCGAGGCACUAGCGGGAGGUGACAGUGUCACUGGACAGGGUCCCAGGAAUUUCCCAAAGUGGAGAUGAGGAACCCAAACCCACCCCACCUGUGGAGUAAGUUGCAGAUCUGCUGACUCCCAUCUGGAAAAAGAAUUUUCAGGACAAAUCAGUAAGAAGAAUAAAUUAACUUAUUAGGC